CGAAAGGCUAAAGGAAAUAAAAAAAAAGAGCAAGCAGGAAUUCCUGCUUGCUCUUUUUGGUUAAGCUUCAAUUAUCCUACGAGAACUGUUGCAGUUGCGAUAACACCUGCGGAGUUAACGUAAGUGAUCGUUACAGAACCUUUUG
rnacentral:sRNA from 1 species